AGUUCAACAUCGUCUUCGGAGACAGAAACAACUGAUAGUGACAAUUCUACCUCUGAGUCUGAGACUCAAGAAGACUCAGUGGAUUCACCAAGAAAAGAACCCAGCAAAAAAGGAAAAAAAAGCGAACAAUCAUCACCAGUGAAGAAGCAAAAAACAAAGAAAAAGACACAGAGAACACCAAAAAA